ACGGAGGGUGCGAGCGUUGUUCGGAAUUACUGGGCGUAAAGCGCGUGUAGGCGGUUUGGCAAGUCAGAUGUGAAAGCCCUGGGCUUAACCCAGGAAGUGCAUUUGAAACUGCUUUACUAGAGUAUGGGAGAGGAGAGUGGAAUUCCCAGUGUAGAGGUGAAAUUCGUAGAUAUUGGGAGGAACACCCGUGGCGAAGGCGACUCUCUGGACCAAUACUGACGCUGAGACGCGAAAGCGUGGGGAGCAAACAGG
rnacentral:rRNA from 1 species